ACGGAGGGUGCGAGCGUUAAUCGGAAUUACUGGGCGUAAAGCGUGCGUAGGCGGUUCGUUAAGUCAGAUGUGAAAGCCCCGGGCUUAACCUGGGAACUGCAUUUGAAACUGGCGGACUAGAGUUGAGUAGAGGGGAGUGGAAUUUCAGGUGUAGCGGUGAAAUGCGUAGAUAUCUGAAGGAACACCAGUGGCGAAGGCGACUCCCUGGACUCAAACUGACGCUGAGGUACGAAAGCGUGGGUAGCAAACAGGAUUAGAUACCCUGGUAGUCCACGCCGUAAACGAUGUCAACUAGCCGUUGGUCCUAUUUACAGGAUUAGUGGCGCAGCUAACGCAUUAAGUUGACCGCCUGGGGAGUACGGCCGCAAGGUUA
rnacentral:rRNA from 1 species